rnacentral:rRNA from 1 species
UACGAGUGCUUCAAGCGUUAUCCGGAAUCAUUGGGCGUAAAGGGUGUGUAGGCGGUCAUGUUAGUCUCGCGUUAAAUUCUCCGGCUCAACCGGGGAGCUGCGUGGGAAACGGCAUGACUUAGAGGAUGGUAGAGGUCUCUGGAACUCUAGGUGUAGCGGUGAAAUGCGUUGAUAUCUAGGGGAACACCAAAAGCGAAGGCAAGAGACUGGACCACUCCUGACGCUGAAACACGAAAGCGUGGGUCGCGAAUGGG